rnacentral:rRNA from 1 species
UGAGGAAUAUUGGUCAAUGGACGCAAGUCUGAACCAGCCAAGUAGCGUGCAGGAUGACGGCCCUAUGGGUUGUAAACUGCUUUUAUAUGGGGAUAAAGUGGGGAACGUGUUCCCUUUUGCAGGUACCAUAUGAAUAAGGACCGGCUAAUUCCGUGCCAGCAGCCGCGGUAAUACGGAAGGUUCGGGCGUUAUCCGGAUUUAUUGGGUUUAAAGGGAGCGUAGGCCGCGUUUUAAGCGUGUUGUGAAAUGUAGACGCCCAACGUCUGCAUCGCAGCGCGAACUGGGACGCUUGAGUACGCGCAACGUUGGCGGAAUUCGUCGUGUAGCGGUGAAAUGCUUAGAUAUGACGAGGAACUCCGAUUGCGAAGGCAGCUGACGGGAGCGGCACUGACGCUUAAGCUCGAAGGUGCGGGUAUCAAACAGG